AGUUUGAUUAUGGCUCAGAUUGAACGCUGGCGGGAUGCUUUACACAUGCAAGUCGAACGGCAGCACGGACUUCGGUCUGGUGGCGAGUGGCGAACGGGUGAGUAAUGUAUCGGAACGUGCCUAGUAGCGGGGAUAACUACGCGAAAGCGCCAGCUAAUACCGCAUACGCCCUUCGGGGGAAAGCGAGAGGACCUUCGGGCCUCGCACUAUUAGAGCGGCCGAUAUCGGAUUGGCUAGUUGGUGGGGUAACGGCUCACCAGCGACGGUCGCCAGCUGGUUUGAGAGGACGACCAGCCACACUGGGACUGAGACACGGCCCAGACUCCUACGGAGGCAGCAGUGGGGGUACACAGGCCAAUGGAAGCCACAGUCCAGCCAUCCCGCGUGUGCGAUGAAGCCCUUCAGGUUAUCAAAGCGCUGCCCAGCGGGAGGACAGCACAGGAUAAUGCCCCGUGCAACUGACGUACCUGCAGAAUAGCAGCACCAGCUAACUACAUUGCAUGACCGCGGUAAUACGUAGGUGCAACGUUAAUGGAAUUACUGGGCGCAUCUAAAGAAACGUACUGGCGGUUCGGAAAGAAAGAUGUGAAAUCUGACUUCUUUGGAACACGUUUUGCUACCGAGCUAGAGUGUGUCAGAGGGAGGUGGAAUUCCGCGUGUAGCAGUGAAAUGCGUAGAUAUGCGGAGGAACACCGAUGGCGAAGGCAGCCUCUGGGAUAACACUGGCGCUCACACGAAAGCGUGGGGAGCAAACGGGAUUGAUAUCACCUGGUGAUCCGCCCUAAACGAUGUCAACUAGCUGUUGGGGCCUUCGGGCCUUGGUAGCGCAGCUAACGCGUGAAGAAGACCCUUCCAGAGGAAAUGCAGUCGCAGGAUUAAAACUCAAAGGAAUUGACGGGGACCCGCACAAGCGUGGAUUGAUGGAUUAAUUCAGUGCAACGCGAAAAACCUUACCUACCCUUGACAUGUCUGGAAUCCCGAAAAAGGUUGGAGUGCUCGCAAGAGAACCAGAACCUGCAGUGUACGUAACAACGUGAUCAGCUCGUGUCUCGUGAGAUGUUGAGUUAGUCCGCAACGAGCGCAACCUUGUCAUUAGUUGCUACGAAGGGCACUCUAAUGAGACUGCCGGUGACAAACCGGAGGAAGGUGAAGAUGACGUAAAUGUCGCGGCUGCUAUGGGUAGGGCUUCACACGUCAUACAAUAAUUCGGAUGAAGGUCUCGCCAACCCGCGAGGAGCCAAUCCCAGAAACCCGAUCAGUCCGGAUCGCAGUCUGCAACUCGACUGCGUGAAGUCGGAAUCGCUAGUAAUCGCGGAUCAGCAUGUCGCGGUGAAUACGUUCCCGGGUCUUGUACACACCGCCCGUCACACCAUGGGAGUGGGUUUACCAAGUAGUUAGCCUAACCGUAAGGAGGGCGUUACCACGGUAGGAUUCAUGAUAAUGCAGAUGAAGUCAUGGCGCAAGGUAGCCCUGCUUU
rnacentral:rRNA from 1 species